rnacentral:rRNA from 1 species
GACGAACGCUGGCGGCGUGCUUAACACAUGCAAGUCGAACGGGUCUGCCCUGUUUUUUGCGGGGUGGGUCAGUGGCGAACGGGUGAGUAACACGUGAGUAACCUGCCCCUCACUUCUGGAUAACCGCUUGAAAGGGUGGCUAAUACGGGGUGUUCUGGCUGUGCCGCAUGGUGUGGCUGGGAAAGAUUCACUUUUGUGGUGUUUUGGUGGGGGAUGGGCUCGCGGCCUAUCAGCUUGUUGGUGGGGUGAUGGCCUGCCAAGGCUUUGACGGGUGGCCGGCCUGGGAGGGUGGGCGGUCACACUGGGACUGAGAUACGGCCCAGACUCCUGCGGGAGGCAGCAGUGGGGGGUAUUGCACAAUGGGCGGAAGCCUGAUGCAGCGACGUCGCGUGAGGGAUGGAGGCCUUCGGGUUGUGAACCUCUUUCGCCGGUGAAGAGGGUCCUGCUCUUUGUGGUGGGGUUGACGGUAGCCGGGUUAUGAAGCGCCGGCUAACUACGUG